CCUACGGGGGGCAGCAGUGAGGAAUAUUGGUCAAUGGACGAGAGUCUGAACCAGCCAAGUAGCGUGAAGGAUGACUGCCCUAUGGGUUGUAAACUUCUUUUAUAUGGGAAUAAAAUGUUCCACGUGUGGGCUUUUGUAUGUACCAUAUGAAUAAGGAUCGGCUAACUCCGUGCCAGCAGCCGCGGUAAUACGGAGGAUCCGAGCGUUAUCCGGAUUUAUUGGGUUUAAAGGGAGCGUAGGUGGAUUGUUAAGUCAGUUGUGAAAGUUUGCGGCUCAACCGUAAAAUUGCAGUUGAAACUGGCAGUCUUGAGUACAGUAGAGGUGGGCGGAAUGCGUGGUGUAGCGGUGAAAUGCUUAGAUAUCACGAAGAACUCCGAUUGCGAAGGCAGCUCACUGGACUGCAACUGACACUGAGGCUCGAAAGUGUGGGUAUCAAACAGGAUUAGAUACCCUUGUAGUC
rnacentral:rRNA from 1 species